UACGAAGGGGGCAAGCGUUGUUCGGAAUUAUUGGGCGUAAAGCGCGCGCAGGCGGUCUUUUAAGUCUGGUGUUUAAGUGCGGGGCUCAACCCCGUGACGCACUGGAAACUGGGAGGCUUGAGUGCAGAAGAGGAGAGCGGAAUUCCACGUGUAGCGGUGACAUGCGUAGAGAUGUGGAGGAACACCAGUGGCGAAGGCGGCUCUCUGGCCUGUAACUGACGCUGAGGCGCGAAAGCGUGGGGGAGCAAACAGG
rnacentral:rRNA from 1 species